rnacentral:rRNA from 1 species
UACAGAGGGUGCGAGCGUUAAUCGGAAUGACUGGGCGUAAAGGGUGCGUAGGUGGUUAAAUAAGUUGUAUGUGAAAGCCCUGGGCUUAACCUGGGAACGGCAUGCAAGACUGUUUAGCUUGAGUCGUGUGGAGGGAAGUGGAAUUUCCGGUGUAGCGGUGAAAUGCGUAGAUAUCGGAAGGAACAUCGGUGGCGAAGGCGGCUUCCUGGACACAGACUGACACUGAGGCACGAAAGCGUGGGUAGCAAACAGG